rnacentral:rRNA from 1 species
AACGAACGCUGGCGGCAGGCUUAACACAUGCAAGUCGAGCGCCUCGCAAGAGGAGCGGCAGACGGGUGAGUAACGCGUGGGAACGUACCCUUAUCUUCGGAAUAGCUCUGGGAAACUGGAAGUAAUACCGAAUGUGCCCUUAGGGGGAAAGAUUUAUCGGAUAAGGAUCGGCCCGCGUUGGAUUAGCUAGUUGGUGGGGUAAAGGCCUACCAGGGCGACGAUCCAUAGCUGGUCUGAGAGGAUGAUCAGCCACAUUGGGACUGAGACACGGCCCAAACUCCUACGGGAGGCAGCAGUGGGGAAUAUUGGACAAUGGGCGCAAGCCUGAUCCAGCCAUGCCGCGUGAGUGAUGAAGGCCUUAGGGUUGUAAAGCUCUUUCACCGGAGAAGAUAAUGACGGUAUCCGGAGAAGAAGCCCCGGCUAACUUCGUG